rnacentral:rRNA from 1 species
UACGUAGGGGGCAAGCGUUGUCCGGAAUCAUUGGGCGUAAAGCGCACGUAGGCGGCCCUGUAAGUCCGUUGUGAAAGUCAAAGGCUCAACCUUUGAAUGCCGAUGGAUACUGCAGGGCUAGAGUCCGGAAGAGGCGAGUGGAAUUCCUGGUGUAGCGGUGGAAUGCGCAGAUAUCAGGAGGAACACCGAUGGCGAAGGCAGGUCUCUGGGCCGCAACUGACGCUGAGGAGCGAAAGCAUGGGGAGCGAACAGG